rnacentral:lncRNA from 1 species
CCACCCUUAUAUCUCCUAGCUUUAUUUCCGUGAUACCCAUAAGUUUCCAUAGUGCGUUAUCUGUCAACCUUAUAAAUUCGUUCCAAAGAGACCAGCUGAAUUCGCAAUUGAAGAAUAAAUGAGCUGUCGUUUCCUCAACUGUAUCACAUAGGACACACUUUGCUGGAACCACUAUCCCCCACGACCUCAAUUUAUCGAAUGUUCUUAGCUUGCCCCAUCUUAGUCUCCAUAGAC